AUAAUUAGUGAACAUUUGUGUUUCUCUUAAUAUUAGGAACAACAAAACCAUAUCCUGCUGAUAUUGUAGUUCAGUUCAAGGAUGUAUAUGCACUGAUGGGCCAAAAUGUGACCUUAGAAUGUUUUGCACUUGGAAAUCCUGUUCCGGAUAUCCGAUGGCGGAAGGUUCUAGAACCAAUGCCAAGCACUGCUGAGAUUAGCACCUCUGGGGCUGUUCUUAAGAUCUUCAAUAUUCAGCUAGAAGAUGAAGGCAUCUAUGAAUGUGAGGCUGAGAACAUUAGAGGAAAGGA